CAACAUAAGAAAGAUAAUAAGCUAUUGGAGAGUGUCCAAAGGGGGGCAACAAAGAUGGUGAAGGGCCCCCAGACUGCUCUGAGUUGUUGUGAAGGAGAAGCUGGUGUACAUGGUGUACAUGUCAGGAUAAACAUACUAAAUAGAAAAACAUGCUUGGCCAUAAAGGAAUCCUGUACUAGGAAUCCUGCUAGAAUUCAUGGGAACAGUGAAUAGCUUUUGUUUUGUGUGAGUGCAUGUAAUAUUACAUAGACUGGGAAGUCUUUUCUCAAGACUGACAUGAGGGAUGGCAAUUUGUGUCACGUAUGCCUUUCCAUUAUCUUUCACUGUACGUGUUUUUCACUCUUGAAAUGCCAAAUUAAUAUUUGAUAUGCCAGUUAUAAUUUGGCAGGGUUUAUCACAAACAAUAGAUGUUAUCUGUUUGUACAAAGCAAGUGAUAAAUCAUAUGGCCUCCAACACUAAAUGUAAGAUGGCUUAAAAGAGCCACACAAAUAACUCUUUAAAAUAAAAUUUCUUAUAAAUUUUCUAACAGAUGAUAAGUACAGGUUUUGAAAAGUGCAGUGAGAGGAAUCCAGAUGGUGGGGUAGUGUAGAAAAGAUGGGUCACUCAUUUUGGUCAAACAAGGAAUGUAGACACACAUCCCCCACUCCCCCCCAAAAAAAGUCUGGUGCUUAAUCUGCUUAUAGGGCAGGCUGAUAACUAGAAUGAUGAGGCUGGUAACAAAAGAAACGUAAUGGGAAAAUGAUCCACUCAACAUGUAAUUAAUACCAGCAUCUGUCACCAUUUAAUGAAUGCUGCACUAAUCAGAGGAUUUUGUCAUGUUAGUAAAAUGUGGAGCUACUUCCCUGUAAAAGGCAGGACUGACACGUACACAACAGCACCGGCAUUGUGUGCAAUAUUCCACACAGGGGCUGCUCACACAACAGUCAGGAUGGCUGAACUUUGUCAAAUAUGCAACUGCAGAAUUGUAUGUUUGGUCAGAGCUCAGCAACUGCAUUCUCUAGCAAAUAUAUACAGGCCAUGUAGAUGAGCAAACAGUGCAAGUAACCAGGCAAACAGUUCUGAUGGAUGUUCUUGUUCUUUACCCCUCAUUGCUCCUAUUGUUUAGUGUUCGCCUCUACAUCUUCAAUCAGUUUCUGAUUAAAUCAAUACAUUCUGAACACAGCAUGUUAUUUUGGGUACUGAGAACUACAGUAUUUUCUUAAAAGACCUUACAAUUAACUGUUUUAAUUGAAAAAAUAAAGUUGUUUUCUGGCUUUUUAGUUUUAAGUAAAAAUUCUGAACCUACAGCACUAAAAUCUUUAAGAAUUUUUUUUUAAAAUCCUUUCUCAAUAAACAACUCAAUUCUAUGUCUAAUCCCUGUAAGUACUAAAUUAAAAAAAAACACAACAACAAAACCCAAACAAAAACCAACAAACCACACAUGAAAAAAAAAACACUUACGAAUUAUCAUUUUCAAUAAAAUUUCAAUUUUAGGAGACAUAAUAAUAAGUGAUUAUUGUAAUGAUUGUGGGCUGGUUGAUUUUCAGUUGUGAGUACCUUUGGGUUUUAUUAAACCUGCAAGGAUAGCUCCUCCAUUUGGGAAAAAAGGUAUUCUAAAGUUAACUAUUGAAUGCUGGCCUUGUUUUUAAGUCUUAAUGAUGACAUUUGAUAUGUAACCUAUUUGACUGACAGGAGAUGCCAUUUGAAGUGCUUAAGCCAGAUGGAUUGGAGGGGGGGGAAUUAACAGAUGUUAUAAUAGUAAUUGAGCUGAAAUUAAUUUCAUGUUAUACAAAACAAUGUUUUUGAAAGAUGUCUUAUUUUAAGUAAAGAUCUGUGGGAGAUGAACCUUUUUCAAAAUUCUGCUAUUUUAUUUGCAUUUGAAACCUGGAGGAUGCCAUACCAAUUAUUGCCUAUCUGGACCAAUUCUAUUUAAGUCUCUUCUUUGACUUUUCAAAGCAAGAAUUUGUUCUUAACAAACAAAAACAGCACAGAAAUUUUUCUAGAGGGCGUUUAAAAAAUUAUAUUUUUGUUAUGAACUAUCUGUAUGGAGGACUUAAAUUGCAUAAAACUAGGAACUUGUUGUUGUCUUAAAUUAGAAACCUUUCAAGCAUAGUUUGAUGAGCUCAGAAAGAAGCCAUUUUGUCCCAGCUCAGAAAAUGUUCUUUUGUGCUUAAAAAGUGUAUUUCCAAAACAGUCAAACACUUUCAUGGUAAUGGUAUCACACACUAUUAAGCAAUUAUUAUCAGCAGAAUGUUUGUUAAUCCUAAAAUACAUAGGGAAAUCUCCUUUGCUUUUUUGCUGUCUCUAAUUCAGACAUCGAAGGAAACAGUAGAGCUGCUUGGAAAAUGGAGACAGUUUCUCUGGGGAACUAAUGCUGUGUUGGAAAGAUAUGAAUACUGUUGUCAGGUAUUUCUGUGCAAAGCUAAAAUCUGUUGUGAUGUUGUGUUAUAGUUCGGAUGCCUCUUAGUACCUCUCACUUCUUCCAUGAAGCACCACCUCUGGAUGUAUGCAGUCACUAGGUCUUAUCCAUAAUGUUUUGGGGAAGAUUUGGGAAUACUUUAGUCAUGCUGCAAAUUGAAGAUGUAAUCCAGCACAAGAACCCAACUGACAUAUGGGCUUUUAACAACUGAAAUGCAAUUUCUGAUGUGUAGCCCUAGCAGUGCUGGCAUUCCAGGGCUUUCCUUACUGGCGGAUCAAGAUUUCUCUACAGAAGCAUCACAUAACAGCAGUCAGUGGUGAGCUUUUUCCUUUCCAGAAGACUCAGUUCUCUCUUUUUUGAGGGGUGGUUCUUUUGGGUUUUUUUUCCCCCACAAACUUUACUAAACUGUGUGAAACUCUGUGAAACAUUUAUUUAUGAUUUGAAAUUAGAAAUAUAACUGGUUCUGAGUCCUUAAGUAGUUAUUACUUGUAAAGUUCAGUUGUUUGUGAGCCUAUGAUAACUCUGUACUGUUGUGUGGGCUUAUAAAAUUCUUUCUGUAGUAGUUGACCUGUCCUUUGAAGAUGCAGUGGAAUAUUCUUGUAUCAAUUUCAAUUAAGGUAUGUUAAAGAUGAUAAAGUAAUCUUAGUUAAUUCUCUGUUACCAUUGUUUGCUAUUACUCUGGUUUUUCUGUAUCACUGGUGGCCUAGAGAUGUAUUUUUUUCUUUUGUGUCAGCUGGGUUUUGUCUCCUCAUAACUAGUCUUUAAUAUACAGACAGCAGUGACACGCAGAAUUGCAAUGUUUAAGCUCCCAUUUUAAGUUUUAUGUAUGAUUUUAAUGUUUGUGGCUUUCUUCAAAAGUAUUAUGCUUGAUGUAGUCCUACCUGCCAAGGAUGAUUUCCAGGUCAUGAAGGUAUAAUAGUUUCUCAAGGUAAGCAAUCACAACUACCUUCUGCUUAAUUAAGUCAACAUUUCCUGCUGUACCCAAAUGUUGCUCACAUGUUCAUUAUUGUCAGUGCUUCUUCCAGAGAAAGAUUUAGUUAUAUUUUUCACUUGCCUUACUUUAGGUAGUACAUCCUUGUCCAUGUUGUUCUCUCUCUUGCGAUUCUUCAGGAGUAAUUCUACUUUUGUGUUGCCAAAGUAGAAGACACAAGGGCUCCUUCACUGCACAGGGAAAUGAGAGCUUGGACUGCAGUGACAAAUCCAAGGGUGAAAACAAAGACUGGGGAUUUAGGCCAUUCACCUGGGACAGAGGAAAAUGUUUAGCUCUAGAUCUCCUGAAUCUCAACAACACUAUUUUCUAGAUUCUGCAGUCACCUUCCUUCUCCAGUGAAUGUUUAGCUAUUUAAAGGAGAACAAUUUAAGGGGAAAAUAAUCUCCCUAUAACCUUUAAUCUGAGUUAUUAUAUUUUGAGUUUCUGCAGCCGAGUCUGGAGAAGUUUGAAAUCCUAAAAAUGUGUAUUGGGGAAGGAAGAAGUUCCUUGUAUGUGCCUUUGUACAGAGCUUCACAAUUCACACCUUCUGUCUUGACCUUCCCCCAGAGGUUUCUCAAUAGACAACGUGAGUCUGUCAUGUGAGACUUGUCUUUACUUAUAUAACUUUCAAAAUAGAUUAAAUUAAGGGAAGGUUGAGGCCAGCAUCCUUAAAAGAUGGCUCACCACCAUAUGACAAAUUUCAAAUAUUAUUUUCUCAUGCUAUGUAAAUAGUAACUAUGCUUCUGGUAAUUUGCAGUCCUGAUUAAUUUUGACAAUACAUACUUACUAAAUAGUUCGUUUUUUGCUAAUUUUCACUUAAAUAUUUUGGUUGUUUUAUUUGUUUAAAAAUUUCCUAUGACUUUUUACCUGAAGCCUUGUCUGGUUGCUGCUGUUUAGAUUUGGUUUUGCUCUUCCUUUCCUCUUCUCUCUUUUUUCAUGAAGAAAUGCCAACAGAAUAAGCAAUGUGGCAGUGAAUUGCUUUAACACUUGCACCUCCAAAUAACAUCCAGAAUGGAAUGUGUCCAUGGUAACCAGGAUGCACUUACAACACUUUCCAUUCCUCAUCUUUUUAAUCUAUGCAAAUAAUAUAGGUACUACAAAGUCUAUGCAUUAUUUUUAUUUGAAAUAACCACAUGCUAAGAAAUUAUCAAGGUAAUUGCAGAUUGUCCUGGGUAUUUGUACAUAAGGAAGUUUUUUAAUGCAAUUGGCAGUUUGUUCCACUGUAAAUCAAAGAAUAAUGUUUAGAAAAAUCACAGUGGUGUUCAACAAAAUUACUUGAAUAUUUUACUUUUCCUGUGCCUCUGCAUGUUGGCCUGAUCUUUCCAUUUUGGCAGAGAGUUCUACUGCAGUGUGCUUCCUGGUAUAACAAUUAAAAGGAGGUAAGAUUAUGGAAAUAUGUAUUGCUGUAGUUUUUUUUAAAUUAGUAUUAAAAUGCUUUGGAAUUUAUACUUCCACACAAUAAUGCUAUAAAGUAAAUUUUCAUAGCCAUGUUAAAACAUCUGUUGUAAUGCACAUGGGUAUUUAAUUUGUAGAGUAUUGACUUAGUGUUUCAUUUUAGAGUUUGUUAGAUUGUAUAAAGAUAAAAAUCUGAUUCAAGAGUCUAUAGACACAUAUGCCCACUCUAGUGUUUGGAUUAAAGACGUUCUUGUACACUCACAUAUACUUAAAGUUACAUUAUAGAUAAAUACACACACACACACAAAAUACUAAACAAAAAAUACAUGGAAUACUUGCUGUGAAAAGUUUGUCUUGCUUACACCAGUGCAGAAUUUCAGUAUCUGCUAUCUGUAUACACUUUGUUCUGUUGUACUGUAUAUCCCAUACUGAAAAGUAUUUAUUAAUGUAUUUAAUUUACACAUUGUAAUUUGUGGUGCAAUAUAUUUCUGCUUUUUUAAGAA